rnacentral:rRNA from 1 species
UACGAAGGGGGCUAGCGUUGCUCGGAAUCACUGGGCGUAAAGCGCACGUAGGCGGGUCCUUAAGUCGGGGGUGAAAUCCUGGAGCUCAACUCCAGAACUGCCUUCGAUACUGAGGAUCUCGAGUCCGGGAGAGGUGAGUGGAACUGCGAGUGUAGAGGUGAAAUUCGUAGAUAUUCGCAAGAACACCAGUGGCGAAGGCGGCUCACUGGACCGGUUCUGACGCUGAUGCGCGAAAGCGUGGGGAGCAAACGGG